rnacentral:rRNA from 2 species
GAUUUUGGAUCCGACUGAGUGGCGAACUGGUGAGUAACACGUGGGUAACCUGCCCAGAAGAAGGGGAUAACACCUGGAAACAGAUGCUAAUACCGUAUAACAACAAGAACCACAUGGUUCUUGUUUGAAAGCUGGCCUUUGUGCUAGUGCUUCUGGAUGGACCCGCGGCGUAUUAGCUAGUUGGUGAGAUAAUAGCUCACCAAGGCAAUGAUACGUAGCAGACCUGAGAGGGUAAUCUGCCACAAUGGGACUGAGACACGGCCCAUACUCCUACGGGAGGCAGCAGUAGGGAAUCUUCCACAAUGGACGAAAGUCUGAUGGAGCAACGCCGCGUGAGUGAAGAAGGGUUUCGGCUCGUAAAACUCUGUUGUUAGAGAAGAACAGCCGUGAGAGCAACUGCUCACGGUAUGACGGUAUCUAACCAGAAAGUCACGGCUAACUACGUGCCAGCAGCCGCGGUAAUACGUAGGUGGCAAACGUUGUCCGGAUUUAUUGGGCGUAAAGGGAGCGCAGGCGGUUUAUUAAGUCUGAUGUGAAAGCCUUCGGCUUAACCGGAGAAGUGCAUCGGAAACUGAUAAACUUGAGUGCAGAAAAGGAUAGUGGAACUUCAUGUGUAGCGGUGAAAUGCGUAGAUAUAUGAAGGAACACCAGUGGCGAAGGCGGCUAUCUGGUCUGUAACUGACGCUGAGGCUCGAAAGCAUGGGUAGCAAACAGGAUUAGAUACCCUGGUAGUCCAUGCCGUAAACGAUGAAUGCUAGGUGUUGGAAGGUUUCCGCCUUUCAGUGCCGCAGCUAACGCAUUAAGCAUUCCGCCUGGGGAGUACGACCGCAAGGUUGAAACUCAAAGGAAUUGACGGGGACCCGCACAAGCGGUGGAG